CUUACUGAUUUCUUUUUAUGACUUGUUGUCACACUUAAAUAUUUCAGAUCAUCAAACUUAUUUAAAUAUUAGUCAAUGACAACACAACUGAAUGCAGUGAGAGCCAUUAUCUACAAAUAGCGGAAACAUGGAACAGUGGCGACUCAGCCAAGAAGUCAUGAAUGACCUCACAACAACAUCCGAAGAAAUGCAGGCCUCACUUGCCUCAGUUAAGACUUUUGGGGAAAAUACUAUGUGGUCUGAUGAGACAAGAGUUCAACUUUUUGGAAGGUCUACCCCGGGGCGUCUUCUCUGUUGGGCAUGCCCAUAACACCUCACCGGGGUAGUGUCCAGGACAGAUGCGAACAAGAUCUCAAGAUCUCCUCAAUGUGAAGGAGCAGCACCUCUGGGAUGAUGGUGCUCCUCAUCUUAGGAGCUCACUCUCCAGGCUUUCCUCAUUUGUGAUCAAGACCCCGAGAUCCUUGAACUCCUUUGCAUUGGGUAAGACCUCAAUCCCAA